rnacentral:rRNA from 1 species
ACGGAGCUUAGAGAGCUUGCUUUUUAAGCUUAGUGGCGAACGGGUGAGUAACGCGUGAGUAACCUGCCCUAGAGUGGGGGACAACAGUUGGAAACGACUGCUAAUACCGCAUAAGCCCACGGUACCGCAUGGUACUGAGGGAAAAGGAUUUAUUCGCUUUAGGAUGGACUCGCGUCCAAUUAGCUAGUUGGUGAGGUAACGGCCCACCAAGGCGACGAUUGGCAGCCGGACUGAGAGGUUGAACGGCCACAUUGGGACUGAGACACGGCCCAGACUCCUACGGGAGGCAGCAGUGGGGGAUAUUGCACAAUGGGGGAAACCCUGAUGCAGCGACGCCGCGUGGAGGAAGAAGGUUUUCGGAUUGUAAACUCCUGUCGUUAGGGACGAUAAUGACGGUACCUAACAAGAAAGCACCGGCUAACUACGUGCCAGCAGCCGCGGUAAAACGUAGGGUGCAAGCGUUGUCCGGAAUUACUGGGUGUAAAGGGAGCGCAGGCGGGAAGACAAGUUGGAAGUGAAAACCAUGGGCUCAACCCAUGAAUUGCUUUCAAAACUGUUUUUCUUGAGUAGUGCAGAGGUAGAUGGAAUUCCCGGUGUAGCGGUGGAAUUCGUAGAUAUCGGGAGGAACACCAGUGGCGAAGGCGGUCUACUGGGCACCAACUGACGCUGAGG